rnacentral:lncRNA from 1 species
UGUGUAAAAGAAAAGUGUUAUGACAUUAUUAUUGUGAAAAUUAUAGUGAAUUAUUAUUAUUAUUAUUGUUAACUUAUGAGAGCAUUAAAGGAAGUAUUUAUAAGAAGAGAGCUUUAAAAAGUCAGUAAUCACAACCUUUUAAAAGAAAUUAAUAGUAAUUUAACGAUAAAUGUAACGAUAUGGGUAAGGCGAAGAUCGUUCUAAGAAAACAAUAAUAAUCUCAUUCUUUUCAAGUAUUAAUAACAUCAGCCAUAUCCUUGCUUUAAAAACUCAUUUUUCAUCCACUGCUGUCAGCCAAAGGUCAGGUAAAGCAGCGUUUUUCCACUUCCACAACCAACAAUCCCUAAUACCAUCCUAAAACGAUUUAGAAAACCCACUUUCUUUCAAUAUUCUGUCGACACGUUCAUAAAUAAUGCAUGACCAAAAGAUAUUCACCGAGUUCUCUCUGCCUUUUGCAGCCAAUUGUUAAAACAAAAGCGGCGAUGGGAGGAGAAAAAUAAAGCCAAGGUAUUAAACAUUAAGAGCCAAAAUCAAUCGCCAUCAUCUUAUUUGUAGGUUGUAAAAAAGAGAAAAUGGGAAAAAAUGGCGACAUCAAUUUGAUGUUAAAAUCCAGAUAGAUUAGACGGUACUUCAGAAGUCAUAGCUAAUUAAUGCAUUUUAAGGCUCCGCGACGGGAGGUCUUUUAUUUUUUAAUUUUUCUGUCUUUUAUUACACUUCUCCUUUGUAAGUCACGGACAAGACUCAACCCUAAUGGACGCUUUCAAGUAUCAUCUCUAUGACUGUGAGAGAAACUUGUCAGCCUUACAUUUAACGAGACCUUUUGCAUUAGUGCAUCUUCAUCUUUUCUUUUUCUUUUUUUUGGUUCUUUUUAACUCUUUGUUGCUCCUUUUUUUGCGCUCUCUUACAGUUUUUCAUCUUUGUAAUUGGUAAUGCGCUGGUCUCUUUUCUUUCAGAAAUCUUAAGCGAAAUGUCUGACUCAAGAUGAUAUGGGAUAUUUGAUGUAUAUUAUAAUAACUCACAAACGUAUUAAAGAUAAAACGAAAUAGUAAAACUGUUUCUAGUUUCGAUAGUGAGAAAGAAAUAUUUUAUUUCUUUUUGCCUAGGUUUUUCAAAACAAUAAUUUAUUUUCAGCAAUAAAGUAGAAAGUUUAUACAGAGUCAGGUGUAUUUUAUAACCUAAAUCUAGCCCAUAGGUAGGUUAUAUUGUAGCAAAAGAUAUCCAAAAUAAGAAAAACGUUCCUUAUAUAUUCUGAAUUCUUAGGGCGAAUUAAAUAAUAUUUGCUGUAUUUUAGGGGGAAAAUGUUUUUUAUUUAAUGCUAAAAUAGAAUGUCUGAUUAUGGAUGCUGUAUUGCCUCGAUAAUUGAUGUUGGCCCAAGCAAGCAUUUUGUUUAAAGUUGCCUAUACAAUGAUUGUCGUUAAAUCAGUUUUUCUAAAUUCAAAUGUUUUGACUAGGUACGCAAGAUUUGAAGCCUAUCAAGUAAAAACGUGAAAAUUGGUCUAAUUGGGUACUUGCAGAACAAGAAGAAGAAGAUCAAGGAUACACACACAUGUGACCUAUGACGUUAGAGCCAGCUGACCGUUUAUAAGCAAAAUGGCGUGUUAAAGUUCAGUUUCUCCACCUUAAGGGUAACGUGCAAAUAGUGUUAAGUGUAAACGUCACAAUGGUGCUUUAUCUUCCAAAACUGUUGAUAUUUUGAGUCAUUUCUAUACUGAGGGGAAAAAAGUGUGGUAAAAACUACUCCGAGUUGGUAAAGUGUACCGUAUAAUGGGAUCUGUGGGAACAACAAAAAGUUGGUAAAAUUUAGA